rnacentral:tRNA from 1 species
AGUUCAUUGGGUGACUGAAAGCAAGUAUUGGUCUCUUAAACCAACUUAUAGUAAAUAGCAAAUACUCCCAAU